UAAAGCCCAUUAUCAUACCUCGAUAAGUUAUUAGUUCAUAUUCCACAUACCAAGGUGGACACUGAUUUUUUUUUCUUCAUUUUUAACUCUGAAGCUGGCCGCGAACGCAGCAGCUCCUCUUCAUGCAAUGUGAGCCAACAUGUCUAAAACAACCUCUGCAUAUCUACCACAUGCCUACCAGGGCCCCGGAGUGGGGCUUUUGGACCGACAAUAUGAAGCUGUCAGGUCCUGCCAAAGUCUGAAGCGCCACAGGGAGCUUCAACAAUGAUCCAUGCACGCCGGGUUCAACAAGACAUCAUACCUGGAAGCGCCUCAUCUCGUGUACAAGUUUUAUUGUGAAGGUGAAACCCGGACUCUGUACUCGCUGAAGUACGGCGGCCUCGUCACCGGUGUGUCGGGACCAUCGGUGCUGCUGGCUUGACAGUGGAGCCAGAGGCAGGGACUCUGCACCGCGACACUUCAUCUUACUGAUCAAUUAACCCGGAGCUGUCAUUCUAUUAAUACACAGGUACGUCCCUAUAUUUACAUAAUGUCUGAUAAUUGGUCAAACUCUCAGGGGCAUGACAAUGAGGGGACACAGACUUUAUGUGCAAAGACCAUGUAACUUAUUGUAGUUUAUUCUCAAAUAGGUCAGGUUGUUGUAGUUCAAUUAACCCUUUCACAGGUCAGGAAAUGUUACCGUGAAAAGAUGAUGUUGUUGAGUGUGUGUAUUCUGUGUAGUGU
rnacentral:lncRNA from 1 species